rnacentral:rRNA from 1 species
UUCGCAAUGCCCGAAAGGGUGACGAAGCGACGCCGCGUGUGGGAAGAAGGCCUUCGGGUUGUAAACCACUGUCGGGAGUUAAGAAAUGCAAGGAUAUGAAUAGUGUCUUUGCUUGACUAAGGCUCCGGAGGAAGCCACGGCUAACUCUGUGCCAGCAGCCGCGGUAAUACAGAGGCGGCAAGCGUUGUUCGGAAUUAUUGGGCGUAAAGAGCACGUAGGCGGCUAUGUAAGUCGGUUGUGAAAGCCUUCCGCUCAACGGGAGAACAGCAUCCGAUACUACAUGGCUUGAGUGCGGGAGGGGAGGGUGGAACUUCUGGUGGAGCGGUGAAAUGCGUAGAUAUCAGAAGGAACGCCGGCGGCGAAAGCGGCUCUCUGGCCCGUAACUGACGCUGAGUGUGCGAAAGCUAGGGGAGCAAACGGGAUUAGAUACCCCGGUAGUCCUAGCCGUAAACGAUGGGCACUAAGUAGAGGGGUUUU